rnacentral:rRNA from 1 species
CGAAGGAUGCAAGCGUUAUCCGGAUUCAUUGGGUUUAAAGGGUGCGUAGGCGGACUGAUAAGUCAGUGGUGAAAUCUCUUUGCUUAACAAAGAAACUGCCAUUAAUACUGUCGGUCUAGAGUAUAGAUGACGUUGGCGGAAUAUGACAUGUAGUGGUGAAAUACUUAGAUAUGUCAUAGAACACCGAUUGCGAAGGCAGCUAACGAAACUAUAACUGACGCUGAGGCACAAAAGUGCGGGGAUCAAACAGGAUUAGAUACCCUGGUAGUCCGCACCGUAAACGAUGAUUACUCGUUGUUGGCGAUAUGACAGUCAGCGACCAAGCGAAAGCGAUAAGUAAUCCACCUGGGGAGUACGCCGGCAACGGUG